rnacentral:rRNA from 1 species
CCUACGGGUGGCUGCAGUGAGGAAUAUUGGUCAAUGGCCGGAAGUCUGAACCAGCCAUGCCGCGUGAAGGUCAGUGCCCUAUGGGCGUUAAACUUCUUUUGUGCUGGGGCAAUAAUUGUCACGUGUGGCCAGACGAUAGUACCGUACGAAUAAGCAUCGGCUAACUCCGUGCCAGCAGCCGCGGGAAUACGGGGGAUGCAAGCGUUAUCCGGGUUUAUUGGGGUUAAAGGGGGCGUGGGCUGGGAGGUAAGUCAGCGGGGAAAUGCCCCCGCGCAAAGGGGUGAAGUGCCAUUGAUACUGCCUUGCUGGAAUGCGGAUGCCGUGCGAGGAAUGUGUGGUGUAGCGGUGAAAUGCAUAGAUAUCACACAGAACACCGAUUGCGAAGGCAUCUCACGAAUCCGCGAUUGACGCUGAGGCACGAAAGCGUGGGUAUCAAACAGGAUUAGAUACCCCAGUAGUC